GCACGGUGCCCGGUGCUGCGGGUGCUCGGCGGCCGCGCUGCCGUGACUGGAGGCCGCAGGAAUCCCAGGCAUGCGCAGCAGCUGGGCAGCCCGAGCGCGGGGGGAUGCCACGGGCCUGACAUCAGGGCGCCCGCCCCAUGGCACGGGGGAGCUGCGCACGGGGGACCCCCCAGGUGGGGGUCAGGGCCGGGCCGUGGGACGGGAUGGGGUGGCGGAGCCCGGCUCUGCCGUGCACCCCGGCACCGGGACCUGUCCGCCCCGUGGGGCUCAGCAGUGCCCAGCGAGCGAGGGCGGGUGGCCCUGGGGACGGCGACACCUCUCCCGGUGUCCUCACGCCUCCAAAAGGUCCUGGAUCGUGGCACGGGGACCUGCCUGGCUGAGCCGCGACCUCAACCCCUGCCAGCACGGCCACCCCAAACCCCAUGGGGCUCUGGGUGCCUCGAGCCGCGGCCGUGCCGCCCGCUCCUUCCCGUGGCACCCGGGUGCGCAGCCGGGAUGAGGCAGCAGCUUCGGCUCCUGGCCUUGCCGGCCCUGCCCGGCCCCGUCCGGCCGUGCCUCAGUUUCCCCAUCCCACCAGCGCCAGGCAGCGGGAUCUGCUCAGCAGCGUGUGGCAAGAGCUGCGGCACCGCUUCUCCCAUGCGUGGCAGGAUGAGGCCGGAUCCCUGCUCCCCCAUCAGGGCACGGCGGGGCCCCACGUCCAUGCCCAGUGCCGCCGUCACGCCGGGGUCAGCCGUGCCCCGGCCCCCCGCGCGCACACGGGGCGCCCCACGGGGACCCCGGGUGCCUGGCGUGCGAUGAGCACGCACGGACGGGGCUCGCGGGGUGACCCCGUGGGGUGCCCCUGUCCCCGGGGAGGCUGCGGCGGGGCCGAGCCCCGCGCGUGCCGCGGGACGCCGGGGAGCUAUUCUCAGCGCCGCGGGGCGGGAGCUUGGCACGGGCAUCGGGACGUUGCUAAAUCGGGGAGAGGAGCGGGGGCUCCGGUUCACGUGCACCGGGCGGGGUGGGGGGUGGGGGGGCAGGAGGGCGACGACUCCUGCGAUCCCUCCCCGUGGCCCCCCCCCAGUUUGGAGGGGGGCUGUUGGCAGCCACCUUGCCACGAGGCGCCCUGGGGUCGGCAUCGCCGGGGGGGGUGCGGGGCACCAAGCUUGGCGUGGGGCACCCAGCCCGGGAUGGGGACGGUCCCCGCGGCGUCCCCAGCAGCGGGAGCUGCAAAACGGGGCAGGCGAGCACCCAAACCGUGCCCGGCGACGCGAGCCACGCGUCGUGCCGCCACCGCGCCGCCACCACGCCGGGGACCCACGGAGCCACGGGGCGCCCCGCCGGGCACCCUGCCCGCGCCCGCCUUCGCCCUCCCCGCAACGCCCGUCGCUCCUCCUGCUCCUCGGGGAGAGGACCCAGGCGCCCGGCUCCGCCUGUCGGGCGUUAAACAACACAGCCCGCGCCCCACGGCCGCGCGGCUCCGGGGCUGGGGGGCACUGGGAAGGGCUGUGUGCUGCGCAUUUUGGUGGGGGCUGAGGCCUGGAGGGCCCCUGCA
rnacentral:lncRNA from 1 species